CCUGUGAACAUACCAAUUGUUGCCUCGGCGGAUCAGCCCGCUCCCGGUAAAACGGGACGGCCCGCCAGAGGACCCCUAAACUCUGUUUCUAUAUGUAACUUCUGAGUAAAACCAUAAAUAAAUCAAAACUUUCAACAACGGAUCUCUUGGUUCUGGCAUCGAUGAAGAACGCAGCAAAAUGCGAUAAGUAAUGUGAAUUGCAGAAUUCAGUGAAUCAUCGAAUCUUUGAACGCACAUUGCGCCCGCCAGUAUUCUGGCGGGCAUGCCUGUUCGAGCGUCAUUUCAACCCUCAAGCCCCCGGGUUUGGUGUUGGGGAUCGGCGAGCCCUUGCGGCAAGCCGGCCCCGAAAUCUAGUGGCGGUCUCGCUGCAGCUUCCAUUGCGUAGUAGUAAAACCCUCGCAACUGGUACGCGGCGCGGCCAAGCCGUUAAACCCCCAACUUCUGAAUGUUGACCUCGGAUCAGGUAGGAAUACCCGCUGAACUUAAGCAUAUCAAUAAGCGG
rnacentral:rRNA from 1 species